UACAGAGGGGCAAGCGUUGUUCGGAAUUACUGGGCGUAAAGGGUGCGCAGGCGGCCAAGUGUGUGAGGCGUGAAAGCCCGGGGCUUAACCCCGGAAUUGCACCUCAAACUACAUGGCUAGAGCAUUGGAGAGGGUAGCGGAAUUCACGGUGUAGCAGUGAAAUGCGUAGAUAUCGUGAGGAACACCAGAGGCGAAGGCGGCUACCUGGACAAUUGCUGACGCUCAGGCACGAAAGCGUGGGGAGCAAAAGGG
rnacentral:rRNA from 1 species